GAGGCUCCCCGCGCGUCCCCACUGCGCCGAGGCCCAGAGUCGCCCAGCCCAUCUCGGCGUCAGGCCUGCGGAGAGCGGUGCCUGGGAAGCAGUCCCUAAUAUUCAGCACUUCGUGUUUUCCCAGAUCUUUGGUCAUCUAUCUCAUGAAGCAUUCUCUGAGCACUAGAUGGAGACAUUGCAUUUGAGAAUAAAGAAUCAGUAAGAUGUUUCCUGCCUGCUAGUCCCCAAGACAACUGAAUACAGAGAACGAUAUUGUUUCAAUUAUGUGACCUUGAGCAACGUCACAUCUCCAGACGUUUUUCAGUUUCUCAAACUGGGUAGAUGACCUACAUCACAGCUAGUAGUUACUGAAUGUUAUGAUCUGGGCAUCUAAGGUUUUCUACGCAUUAUUGCACCAGUCUUCACGUUACUAUACUUCUUUCGUCUAUUUUGUGGAAGCAGUGGUAUAGACAGCCUGAGUAACUUGCUUGUUGUGACACAGCUAAGUUAAGAGCUGGGAAGUCACACCCAGCAGCCUGGUUUCAGAGCCACAAAGGCGCAGGAUUUGGUGAAGAUCAUGUGGGAGGAGCCCAGAAGUCCUGUGAAGUGGAAGCACAAGUCACCAUGUGGACAGGGUUUGAUGCUUCAUGUGGGCAACAGCAAGUUGGAAAUGUUUAAGCAAAAUGUGUGACUGGUGACUCUAUGUCCUAUUUUUAUAUGGAAGUCUCAGUUUA